CCUACGGGUGGCAGCAGUGGGGAAUCUUGCACAAUGGGCGAAAGCCUGAUGCAGCGACGCCGCGUGAGGGAAGAAGGCUUUCGGGUUGUAAACCUCUUUCAGGUGGGACGAAGGCCCUCGGGUGAAUAGCCCAGAGACUGACGGUACCGCCAGAAGAAGCCCCGGCUAACUACGUGCCAGCAGCCGCGGUAAUACGUAGGGGGCAAGCGUUGUCCGGAUUUAUUGGGCGUAAAGAGCGUGUAGGCGGCUUGGUAGGUCCGUUGUGAAAACUCGAGGCUCAACCUCGAGACGCCGAUGGAAACCACCAAGCUAGAGUCCGGAAGAGGAGAAUGGAAUUCCUGGUGUAGCGGUGAAAUGCGCAGAUAUCAGGAAGAACACCCGUGGCUAAGGCGGUUCUCUAGUACGGUACUGACGCUGAGACGCGAAAGCGUGGGGAGCGAACAGGAUUAGAUACCCCAGUAGUC
rnacentral:rRNA from 1 species